UACGAAGGGUGCAAGCGUUGUUCGGAUUUAUUGGGCGUAAAGCGUGCGUAGGCGGAUCAGCAAGUCAGGUGUGAAAUCUCGGAGCUCAACUCCGAAACUGCGCCUGAAACUGCUGGACUAGAAUACUAGAGAGGGAAGAGGAAUUUCACAUGUAGGGGUAAAAUCCGUAGAGAUGUGAAGGAACACCGGAGGCGAAGGCGGCGACCUGGUCCUUGACUGACGCUGAGGCGCGAAAGCGUGGGGAGCAAACAGG
rnacentral:rRNA from 1 species